ensembl:lncRNA
GAGGCCUAUCUGGUCCCUUCUAACUCUAUGGGUCUAUGUUUCUAAGGGAGAAGGAGUAAAUAUUAUUCCCUGAAGGACAAAUCUAUCAAUAAUAAUAAUAAUAAUAAUAAUAAAACUUUAUUUAUACCCCGCCACCAUCUCCCCAGCGGGGACUCGGGGCGGCUAACAUGGGGCCAUGCCCAGAGAAUACAAUAUAAUAAAUAAAAACAACAUAUCAUAACACAAUUAAAACAAUACAAUAGAUAAUAAUAUACAUUACAUCAAGAAGUCAAAGAGGGGUCUACUAGGAAUUAUGUCUUGGGAAUUAGAGCCAGAUGAAGGCAAAUAGUUUUAUCGUUUUAUUGUUAUACUAGCUGUGCCUGGCCACGCGUUGCUGUGGCGUUGUCUUCUAACGGGCAGCAAUUGGUUAAAAACUAUUAUUCCUCUCCCUGUAAUUAGGACUUUAUUUUUCUUUUCUUUUUGUUGUAUCAACCUAGAGCCGUGGAUGAUGGGUUGUGUUGUCAAAUUUCGAGGUUGGGGGCCUGUAGUUUUGUUGUUUUGUCCGCUGCCAGUUACAAGGCUAAGUUCCGCCCACUUGGUCUCCUAGCAACCUACUCAGCCCAGGGGACAGGCACAAGAGUUUGGAGAGACCCCUAAGGGCCAUCCAGCCCAACCCUUUCUACUAUGCAGCAGGACACAAUCCAAGCAUUCACAACACAUGGACAACGUAUAAAUACUAUACAAUACUAAACAGGGACAUAGACCCCCUCUACCCUCACCACUUUCACAGUACACAAAUAACCAAAUGCAUACUAAACAUAAGGACAACGUAUAAAUACUAUACAAUACUACACAGGGACAUAGACCCCCUCUACCCUCAUCACUUUCACAGUACACAAACAACCAAAUGCAUACUAAACAUAAAGACAACCAUACAACAGACAUUCAAUACCACCACUACCUCAACAAGUUCUCACCAACACCACCAGACAACACCACAGCAACGCGUGGCCGGGCAUAGCUAGUGCCAUAUAAAAUAGAACAGAGACAGAGACAGACGCAGAGGCAAUUUAAACCUUCUCCAGCUUCCAGCUUCCUGAGGCCACAGGAGGAGGAGCUGCUUCAUCAUCCACUCUGAUGGCAACUUCCUCAUUCCAGCUGGGUGAUUUUUAUGGUGUCGUAAAUUAGCCUCCCUACAUAUAAGUGGUACUUAAAUUUCCUACUUGAUAGAUGCAACUAUCUUUCGGGUUGCUUAAGUCAACAACGAGAAGGGACUAUAUUUUAUUUUAAUUGUUGGGUGCUCACCCCAACACGUGUUGGCCUUGAACUCAUGACCUCUUGGUCAGAGUAAUUUAUUGCUAACCAGCCUGCGCCACAGCCUGGCCCCUCUUUAUCCAGACUAAUCAAAUGUCACAAAAAUGUAAAAGGUUUCAAGUUCACGAAACACUUCAAUCAAGUGAUCAUAGAAUCAUAGAAUCAUAGAGUUGGAAGAGACCUCAUGGGCCAUCCAGUCGAACCCCCUGCUAAGAAGCAGGAAAAUCACAUUCAAAGCACCCCUGACAGAUGGCCAUCCAGCCUCUGCUUAAAAGCCUUCCACAUUUGAACUGAUUUCCCUAUAAGUUUCCCUAUCAUGUUGGGGCUGGUGCGAUGAGGUUGCAUAUCUAGAAGAGCAUGAUGUGCAAUAUCCAAGAAGAGCUCGAGUUCCCGAAUGUCCUUAAGGGUCUUAAAUGUCCUUAAGGAUCGGACUGUCAUUCCUAGCAUUCCACACUGACUAGGGUUGAUGGAAUUUGCAGUACAAAAUAUCUGCACCUAAUGGAUAUUGUGAACAUGUCUGAAUGGAAGAGGCAACAAAAGAUGCUCAAAUCCAGCCAGAUGUUGAGUCACUUGGCCUGUUACUAAACUAACUCCCAAGAUGGAAAUUACAGCGGAGCAAAGAAAAGGCUAUUUUGAAAGUAUGCAUUUAUUUACACUUAUUUACAUUUAGUACUGGUUGAAUGAAACGCCCCGUCUUCCAGAUCUUACUGGAUAUAUGAGCUUGCUUAGAAUUUAAAGCUUCCAUAUAAACCUCAAGAGGUUCGUAUGAAUUUAGAUCUCCAGGGGAGGCCUUUCUUUUGCUUCCCACCAUCCUCACGAGUAUCUUUGGUGAGGAAAUGACCAUUAAAAGACAUAUAAAUGGUUUUAUGCCAUCAUGUGUCCCUCUCAGUAUGUCAACCAUGCUUCUCAGAAGAAAAGAAUCCAAAGUAUUGAUUA